rnacentral:lncRNA from 1 species
GGUUACCUAGACUUCCUCCUAUAUUAUCUUUUAGUAGUUGUAUUGUUUUGCACUUUAUAUGUGGGUCUCUAAUCAAUUUUGAGUUUUUUUGUUGUUGUUGUUAAAGCACGUAUUGUAAAAUAUUUGCUAAAUUUUGUGUCUAGUUUCUUUCACACAUGGAUUUUCAGGUGUUCCAGCAUUAUUUGUUGAAAAGACUAUCCUUUCCCCAUGGGAUGAACUUCUGUGAGAAAAGGAAAGAUGACUCAGGAAGGGGAGAGCAUUGUUAGGACUGAAUUGUUGGGGAAGAUGGUAAAAAAGAUGUUGGGAAAUAUCAACUGGAGGAGAGGUAAGUGGAUAAAAUAGAAACCCUUAUUAGAUUUUUCUGCACAUUUGUGCUUUGUCAAAUAAUAUAAUAAGUUCCUAAAAGUCAGAGGGUAGAUAUAAAUUAAUUGAAACAGGAGAGCACAACCCAAAA